rnacentral:tRNA from 1 species
GCCAGCGUGGGGUAGUGGCUUGAGUAUUGGACUAUGACUCUGGAGACCAGGGUUCAAUUCUCAGCUCAGGCA